rnacentral:lncRNA from 1 species
UACCCAUCAUGCUGCUCAAAGUUGCUGCUAAUCCGUUGAUUUUUUGGCCUGAAAACCAUAUGCAGAUGCAAAAAUGAAUCACAAAGUGACUCUAACUGAGAAGAGAGAUGUUGUGGUCAGUCAUUCAUGUGUGCACCAGUUACUUUGGAUAAAAGACCUAAUCAAAAUAUCUACUUUUUAUGGGACGAUGUUUGUCAGUGGCCAAAGAUGAAUACACUUCUGUUUUUGUAAUAAGGUUGCAGGACCAGGAUACAUUGGCAGUUGCAUGAGGGGAGGAGGGAAAUCCAGUGACUCUGCCUGUACAAGCAUGGAGGCAGUUGAGAAACCUCCCUCCAGCACCCCACGCCUUGAACUCAGGAGAGACCAACGUCCAGGACUUUAGUUCUGGGGAUUAGAGUGAAUCUGCAAGUGCCCACCAGAGUUGGGGAUGGCAACUUCAAUUCACAAGCAGUGAACUCGCUUCUCUAUUUCUUUCUUUCAGCUGUGCACUGUUUUCAUCAGUAAAAUACACAGUAGUUAUUCUCAGGUCACAUGUUUUGAUAAGA